rnacentral:misc_RNA from 1 species
ACUCUGAAUAGUAUGAAGCGUAUGAUCAAAGCACCAUCCGCUUUCUCUGAUAAGGUAAAAAAUUGCUGUGUGUAGUCUUUGCCCAUUCCAUGCGAUGGGCAUUUUUUUAC